AGAGCAGCAGCUACGCAGCGCUUGAAGAUGACGUAGUAUUAAGAGCAACAACAGUAUGUAGAAGUAGUAUGAAAGCCC